rnacentral:rRNA from 1 species
UAAUACGUAGGAUGCAAGCGUUGUCCGGAAUUAUUGGGCGUAAAGAGCGAGCAGGCGGCAGACCAAGUUGGACGUGAAAUUUUAGGGCUUAACCCUAAAGGGUCGUCCAAAACUGGUCAGCUAGAGUGCAGGAGAGGAAAGCGGAAUUCCCGGUGUAGUGGUGAAAUGCGUAGAUAUCGGGAGGAACACCAGAGGCGAAGGCGGCUUUCUGGCCUGUAACUGACGCUGAGGCGCGAAGGCUGGGGUAGCGAACAGGAUUAGAUACCCUGGUAGUCCCAGCAGUAAACGAUGGACACUAGGUGUGCGGGGAAAUUGACCCCCUGCGUGCCGGAGCAAACGCAAUAAGUGUCCCGCCUGGGGAGUACGGUCGCAAGAUUA